GACGAACGCUGGCGGCGUGCUUAACACAUGCAAGUCGAACGGAAAGGCCCUGCUUUUGUGGGGUGCUCGAGUGGCGAACGGGUGAGUAACACGUGAGUAACCUGCCCUUGACUUUGGGAUAACUUCAGGAAACUGGGGCUAAUACCGGAUAGGAGCUCCUGCUGCAUGGUGGGGGUUGGAAAGUUUCGGCGGUUGGGGAUGGACUCGCGGCUUAUCAGCUUGUUGGUGGGGUAGUGGCUUACCAAGGCUUUGACGGGUAGCCGGCCUGAGAGGGUGACCGGCCCCAUUGGGACUGAGAUACGGCCCAGACUCCUACGGGAGGCAACGGUGGGGAGUAUUGCACAGUGGGCGGGAGCCUGAUGCAACAACGCCGCGUGCGGGAUGACGGCCUUCGGGUUGUGAACCGCUUUCGCCUGUGACGAAGCGUGAGUGACGGUAAUGGGUGAAGAAGCACCGGCUAACUACGUG
rnacentral:rRNA from 1 species